AGAACCAUUUUCAGUCAUUCGAUCAUCAAGAUCUACGGUGGAUGCAUCAUCUUGUUGGAUGAAUGCAGAUCCUGGGUUCGAAUCCUGAAGGGAGCAUUUUUUUAAAUUUUUUUAGUGCAUUAAUUUUAACAGCGAAUGCAUUAAUUUUUACAGUGGAUGCAUUAGAUUUGAUGGUUCUCCCGUUCUCACAAAUAAUGUAGUUCUCUCUAGAACCACACCCUAUAUAUAUAUAUAUAUAUAUAUAU
rnacentral:lncRNA from 1 species